rnacentral:rRNA from 1 species
CCUACGGGUGGCAGCAGUGGGGAAUAUUGCUCAAUGGGGGAAACCCUGAUGCAGCAACGCCGCGUGAAGGAAGACGGUCUUCGGAUUGUAAAAUUCUGUUCUUAGUGAAGAAAAAUGACGGUAGCUAAGGUGAAAGCCACGACUAAAUACGUGCAAGCAGCCGAGGUACUAGGUAGGAGGCAAGCGUAGUCCGGAAGUACGUGGUGUAAAGGGAGCGCAGGCGGGAAGCGAAGUCAGGUGUGAAAACUACGGGCUUAAAUUGUAGACUGCAGUUGAACCGGGUUUCCUUGAGUGAAGUAGAGGUAUGCGGAAUGCCUGGUGUAGCGGUGAAAUGCGUAGAUAUUAGGAGGAACACCGGUGGCGAAGGCGGCCAACUGGGCUUUAACUGACGCUGAGGCUCGAAAGUGUGGGGAGCAAACAGGAUUAGAUACCCGUGUAGUC